rnacentral:lncRNA from 1 species
CCACCGAAGCCCCUUUUGCAAGAGAUCUACAUUUAGGUCACCAAGCAGGAAAUACUCUAAAUUCUCCGCAUCAAAUGAACCGAUCAUUUUUUCAAAAUCACCGAAAUGACUCGCAGGAGAGUCAGGUGGUCUGUACCAAGUACUAACCAAAAUAAAUUUUGAUCUUGGUUUUUUUACUUCUACUAUCAAAUUUUCGAGAGUUUCCAAAUGUAGAUCAUUGCAAACGCCGCCGCCAUAACGGCCAUUUACACUUCGGUCUCUUCGAACAAUUUCAAAACCUGGUAGACAGACCUCCUGAUCGGUAAUUGUGGAAUCAAGCUUGGUUUCGUUUAUACAUAAUAUGUCUAUUUUAGUGCUACUUGUAAAUAUUCGUAAUUCAUCAAUAUGGGAUAAGAGACUAUUAAUAUUCAAACAAGCCAUAACCAUACCACGAUGAGAUGGUAUUUUGUCUACGUUUAUAUAUGGUAGGCUAUUUCUAUUAGAAUAACUUGGUUCGUUUAACUCACCCACUUUUGUUGGCAUUUCUUCAUCUAAUCUAGAUUGUUCGUCAGCAUUAUUACUUACGGACUCCCACAUGGCUGUAUCCUAACAAUUCCUAUCGUAAAUAUAGUUUGUAAAAUUUCGUGCCAUCAUACUUGAUCCCAUUUUGUUGAGGUGGAUUCUACUCUGGUUUAAUUGGUUAAUUGUAAUGUUAGUGUGGUCGAUGAAUUUCCAAUGUUUCUGAAUACAAGAUUCCUUCAGCGCUGCGUUGACUUCAUUGACUUUACGUGUUAGCAUUUCGUCAUCUGAACGCGUGACAAGGCCAGACACGACUAGCUCCGUCUCGGGGAUUGAUCUCUUUAUUUUUUCUCCCAAUGAUAUAAUUUCUUCUGCGCAAUGAGUGGAAUUCUCACGACCCUUUAGGCUAUUUGUGCCGACGUGUAGAAUCAAUUUGUCAGGUUUUUUUCUUAAUACUGGCUUAAUAUAGUCAUCCAUGUCUAGUGUAGUACAUCCAGGGAAGGUCGAGACUUGAACUCUUGUGUUAGACUUGUGUUAGACUUCUUCUUCUUCUUCUUCUUCUUCUUCUUCUUCUUCUUCUUAGGGGGCGACGCACUUUGAAAAAACCUUAAGGCUCCGUCAUUACUCCGUUCGUCAUUCAGACGAACUUUAUACGUAUUGUUAAGUGUUUAAUUAAUGCAUUUUUAAGUGAAUAUACAUAUUUGCUGAGCUGCCUAUAUGGUUUUUAAUUGUUUAUAAAUGUCCCGUCCCUUUCAAUGCUAAUGGCGAGAAGCUAUAUUUUUUAUCUAGCAACGCAAAAAGGCGAGGCAAAAAGACAUGCUUUAAAUUUAUCAAAAAAGCCAGUUAUCUAAUGUAUUUCGGAUAUAUCAUAACUUAAUCUUAUAGAAUACAAACGUUUUGGGUAGGUUUCGGACCUAGGAGAACUUUUACGAGCAAAAAUAUAAUUUUUCCGC